GAUCCGUCUUGAAACGGUCCUUUCUAAGUUAAAUGUUAGUUGCUAUUUUGCAAUGCAUUUAUGGAUUAUCAAGGUAGAACAAUGGGGAUGAUCCAAUUCUAACGGUUGGUUUCAAGAUUGUGGCAUUGAGAGCCAUAAUUAGAUCUAACAUCGAGGUCCUCAAGUAUAUUCAUGAUGGGAUAAAGAAAUAAAACGAAGCUACUUUGAUGUCCUAUUUACUUAUUGCAGAUAAAAUAAUGGAAUUGGCACAUUGAAGAUCUUGGGUUAUAUGAUUUUAGAUUUUUUUUAAAUAAAUUAGAACAAAUAUGUAGAUUGGUUAAAACGUUACGGUU